AUGUGGUCCAAUCUCUCAAGGAAUUGAUGCUACUUAAAGAAAAGGAAAGUAUUUCUAAAGCUACUUCUCUCUUUCAAAAAGAAAGGACCAGAACACCACAAUAGACACGAAGCAACAAUUCUUGAGCACAUACUCUGUUCCAGCCAAAAUCAAAAUGACAAAAUGAAAAGAACAUUGAGGAUGGAAAGCAGUAUGCUAUUUUUUUCAUAUCAAGUCUCCAAAAGAAGAGAGAUGCAACACAGAAGACAUUUGCAUGUGUUCACUUUGAAGACAGGAGCUGAAUUUCACUCCAGGAUUUCCAGUUUCCUGAUCUGUGGAGACUGUUUGGGGGUAAAAUGCUUUAUUUAUUUCUCAAGUAUCCCACUAAGUAUCUAUUAUAAGAACUCCAUGUAAUGAUUCAAUGUUUUCUAAAUGAAAUUCUUUGAAAUAAAAAUGUAUAUAAAUGUAAUCAUUCCCUGUGUACUGUCAGUUUAAUAUCACAUGUCCAGAUUCUACAGGCAUGUGAUUUGAACAUGACAAAUGUAAUAUAACUACUUUGAAUAUAUAAAUGAAGAAUUACAUCCAGAAGGUACUGAAAUGUUAAAUUUAUACUAUCCAGGUAGGGGUGUGUGUGUGUGUGUGUGUGUGUGUGUGUGUGUGUCUGUGUCUAUUAGGAGAAAUUCUUAUUACAUAAAGAGGAAUUGUGGUUUUUACACUAUUUAUAACAAAGUUACAAAAUAGUCUCAUUCAAUAACUGUGUUAUGUGCUACUUUUAAACAGCUUUAUUAAAACAGAAAAAUAGGAAUUAAAAUAGAAAGGACACUUGGAUUAAGAGAGUAAGAGCCAAAGUUGAAGUACUGCAGACCUCAGUAAGAGUGAGUUAAAUCAAUUAAUGAUUGUAUCCCAAUCCAGAGUCCCAGAUAAACUGAGUCUCAGUGAGUGGAAUAAUCCAAGUCAAUGACGGAGAGGUUAAUUUGUGCCCCAAAUGGGCACCAAAUUUGAAAAAAACAAUAAAAAGAUACUGUCAGAAUAGAUAAGUGUUUUAAGAAAAAAAAUAGAUGACUGUAUAUUGUGGAUCUGUGAGCUUAAUAUUUAUCUUGUUAAAAAAAUCAAUAAAUGUCUGUCAACCUGAAAUUAACAGGGGUAUGUGUAUUGCUUAAUAUAAAAAGAGAAAUGACGUAUAGCCACAGUUUUCAGCUUCAUGCUUCACAACUCAUUAAUAAAGAUGGCAAACCUACACUCAUCCAUACUAGAAAACUAUUACUUAGAUGCUCAAAAGUCUAAGGUCCAGAAGGUAGUGACCUAUUUUAAUCUAGGAAGAAAGACUAAGUGUCAUGUAAUGUGAAGGCAAUGACUUGUCUCAAAAACCUGCUCGUGACAGAAAAUGAAUGAACGUCAAUUUUUCACACACUGCCUAGCUCAUGUGAGAAACUACUGAAACUUUGAAAAAAAUCAUUCAAAUUCCAAAGUAAAAUGUAAAAGAAGACAAAUAUAUCAGAUGUAGGAAGCCCAUAUACAGGCUAAAUCGUAUAUUUUUUAAUGCUGCAAAUGUAAUUUAAGCACACUCAGACGUGUGUAAAUAUUGGAGAGAACAAGCCCAAAG
rnacentral:lncRNA from 1 species